rnacentral:rRNA from 1 species
CCUACGGGGGGCAGCAGUGGGGAAUAUUGCACAAUGGGGGAAACCCUGAUGCAGCGACGCCGCGUGAGCGAAGAAGUAUUUCGGUAUGUAAAGCUCUAUCAGCAGGGAAGAAAAAAAUGACGGUACCUGAGUAAGAAGCACCGGCUAAAUACGUGCCAGCAGCCGCGGUAAUACGUAGGGGGCAAGCGUUAUCCGGAUUCACUGGGUGUAAAGGGAGCGUAGACGGCCAUGCAAGCCUGGAGUGAAAGCCCGGGGCCCAACCCCGGGACUGCUCUGGGAACUGUGCGGCUGGAGUGCGGGAGGGG